rnacentral:rRNA from 1 species
UUAUGGCUCAGAUGAAACGCGGGCGGUAUGCUUAACACAUGCAAGUCGAACGGUAACAGGCCUUCGGGCGCUGACGAGUGGCGGACGGGUGCGUAACGCGUAGGAAUCUGCCGAUUAGUGGGGGACAACUUGGGGAAACUCAAGCUAAUACCGCAUACGCCCUACGGGGGAAAGCGGGGGACCUUCGGGCCUCGCGCUAAUCGAUGAGCCUGCGUUGGAUUAGCUAGUUGGUGGGGUAAAGGCCUACCAAGGCGACGAUCCAUAGCUGGUCUGAGAGGACGAUCAGCCACACUGGGACUGAGACACGGCCCAGACUCCUGCGGGAGGCAGCAGUGGGGAAUAUUGGACAAUGGGCGCAAGCCUGAUCCAGCAAUACCGCGUGUGUGAAGAAGGCCUGAGGGUUGUAAAGCACUUUUAAUCGGGAGGAAGACCUGUAGGCUAAUACCCUGCAGUAUGACAUUACCGAUAGAAAAAGCACCGGCUAACUCCGUGCCAGCAGCCGCGGUAAUACGGAGGGUGCAAGCGUUAAUCGGAAUUACUGGGAGUAAAGCGUGCGUAGGCGGUUAUUUAAGUCAGAUGUGAAAGCCCCGGGCUUAACCUGGGAACUGCAUUUGAUACUGGGUAACUAGAGUUUAGUAGAGGAAAGUGGAAUUUCAGGUGUAGCGGUGAAAUGCGUAGAGAUCUGAAGGAACACCAGUGGCGAAGGCGACUUUCUGGACUAAAACUGACGCUGAGGUACGAAAGCGUGGGUAGCAAACAGGAUUAGAUACCCUGGUAGUCCACGCCGUAAACGAUGUCAACUAGCCGUUGGUUUAUUUCGAUAAAUUAGUGGCGCAGCUAACGCGAUAAGUUGACCGCCUGGGGAGUACG